rnacentral:rRNA from 1 species
GAUCCUGGCUCAGGAUGAACGCUAGCGGCAGGCUUAACACAUGCAAGUCGAGGGGUAGAGUUCUUCGGAGCUUGAGACCGGCGCACGGGUGCGUAACGCGUAUGCAAUCUACCUUUUACAGAGGGAUAGCCCAGAGAAAUUUGGAUUAAUACCUCAUAGUAUAAUUGAAUGGCAUCAUUUAAUUAUUAAAGUCACAACGGUAAAAGAUGAGCAUGCGUCCCAUUAGCUAGUUGGUAAGGUAACGGCUUACCAAGGCUACGAUGGGUAGGGGUCCUGAGAGGGAGAUCCCCCACACUGGUACUGAGACACGGACCAGACUCCUACGGGAGGCAGCAGUGAGGAAUAUUGGACAAUGGGCGCAAGCCUGAUCCAGCCAUGCCGCGUGCAGGAUGACGGUCCUAUGGAUUGUAAACUGCUUUUGUACAGGAAGAAACACUGGUUCGUGAACCAGCUUGACGGUACUGUAAGAAUAAGGAUCGG